GUUGCAGCAUAAAGUUUCUCACUCAGCAGGAAAAUCCACCAGAGACUCAGGCCAGCGACUGUAUUGCUGGGAAUAUAAAAGCACCAUGCAUAUAACAUGCAUUUUGUAUUAUAGGAAAAGUCCUGGAGCUUGAAGAAAGAACUUCUGUUAAUUUGCAGGUAAACCACUCCCAGAACACUAGCAGGAAAGAUGGGUCCGUUAAAAGGAGGAGAGCAAAACAAAGGAAUGAGGACUAGUGACACAGGAAAUCCUACCAUGGAAAGGGAUUAACCUGGAAUUCAAGGGGGAAGGAAAAACGCUUUCUCCUUAAACCCAAAGCAUCUUCAAGAUCCUGCUUUCAAGUCUUUGGGGUAUAUACCAGAAGUGGAAUUGCUGGAUAAUAUGGUAAGUCUAUGUCUAAUUUUUUCAGGAACUGCUAUACUAUUUUCCACAGUGGCUGUACCAUUUUACAUUCCCAUCAACAGCGUAUAAGGCUUCCAAUUCCAUCAUGCCCUUUCCAUACCUUGCUAUUUUCUGGGGUGUUUUGUUGUUUUUGGUGGUGAUGGUGGUUUUUGUUUUUUAUAGUAGCCACAAAAAAUGAGUAUGAGGUGGUUUUGAUACACAUUUCACUAAUGAUUAGAUGAAGAGCAGUUGUUUUUCUUUUUUUUAAAGUUUAUUUAUUUGUUUUGGGAGAGAGAAAGAGCAAG